GCCCAGGUGGCGGAAUUGGUAGACGCACCAGAUUUAGGUUCUGGCGCCGCGAGGCGUGGGGGUUCGAGUCCCUUCCUGGGCACCA
rnacentral:tRNA from 10 species